AGCUUUAUGUACUUAUACAAAGUUAAACCUGCCCAAUGUACAGAGGUAUUAAUGGCCGCGGUACUUUGACCGUGCUAAGGUAGCGCAAUCAAUUGGCUUUUAAUUGUAGUCAGGUAUGAAUGGAUUUACGGGGUUUAACUGUCUCUUUAUUAAUUUAUCUAAGUUACUAUUUAGGUGAAAAAGCCUACAGAAAGAAAAAAGACGAGAAGACCCUUAGAAUUUUACUUAAACUAAAUCUUAUAUUUGGAUAAGUUUAGUUGGGGCAACAAAGGAACAAGAUACUUAAUUUCCUAAAAUUUACAUAUCGAUAAUUAUAAAAUUGUAUAAAUUACCUUAGGGAUAACAGCAUAAUUUUAUCAAUAAGUUUGUGACCUCGAUGUUGGACUAGGAAACUAGGAGGCUAGCCGCCUUUUAGAAAAGUUCUGUUCGAACUACAAUUCCU
rnacentral:rRNA from 1 species